UACGGAGGGAGCUAGCGUUGUUCGGAAUUACUGGGCGUAAAGCGCGCGUAGGCGGCUUUGUAAGUUAGAGGUGAAAGCCCGGGGCUCAACCCCGGAAUUGCCUUUAAGACUGCAUCGCUUGAAUCCGGGAGAGGUGAGUGGAAUUCCGAGUGUAGAGGUGAAAUUCGUAGAUAUUCGGAAGAACACCAGUGGCGAAGGCGGCUCACGGGACCGAUUACUGACGCUGAGGCGCGAAAGCUAGGGGAGCAAACGGG
rnacentral:rRNA from 1 species